rnacentral:rRNA from 1 species
UACGUAGGGGGCAAGCGUUGUUCGGAUUUACUGGGCGUAAAGGGCGCGUAGGCGGCCAGCGCAAGUCAGUUGUGAAAUCUCCGGGCUUAACUCGGAAAGGUCAACUGAUACUGCGCGGCUAGAGUGCAGAAGGGGCAACUGGAAUUCUCGGUGUAGCGGUGAAAUGCGUAGAUAUCGAGAGGAACACCUGCGGCGAAGGCGGGUUGCUGGGCUGACACUGACGCUGUUGCGCGAAAGCCAGGGGAGCGUACGGG